rnacentral:lncRNA from 9 species
AUAGCACUUAAACUAUUGAGAAUGGAGGAUCCCAGGACAACAUUUAAAAUGACAGCUAAUGUCUGUGGAAACCCUGGGCGUUUAGGAGUGGCCUAAAGCUAGAGUUCUCUUUGAUUACGGGCACCACUUUCAGAUAAAAACAUAGACCUGAAUGGCAUCAUCCAGUAUCCAAGGAAACCAUUUCUUACAGUACCCUGGAACAUAAUUCACCAUGGCCAGGAUGAAUCUGCUGUACACAGGAGUGAUCCUUCUAACCUGCCAUGUCCAUAGUUAUGUGAGAAUCUAGGAUGGAGCUGAAAGAACUGUAUCUUCCUGGAUCAUACCCAAAAGGUCUCUAAGUGCACUGAUGACAGGAAAAUCUUCAGUGGUUCCAGAGACAAGCUGCUGGAAAUCCUGCACAUUUAUUUUCUAGAAGGAAAUGAGCUGAUGAGGAAUAAUCCCUUCAGAGAUCCUCCCUUUAAAAAACCUUAAAGGACUCCAAAUUAAAGCAUAGCCAUUUCUGGGACCCUAAAGUGACUCAAAAAAAGGAAACAUCACUUACUUAAUGUUAGGUGAAUUUCAAAAGCCUUAAUAAGGGGAGAGCAAAGGUAGGGAGAAAGAUGGUGAAUAAAUUGUGAGAACCUACCAAGUAAAGAAAUAUCUUUUAAAUUCCACGCAUCAUGUUUUAUUUCACUUUGUAUUUCAAUUAAAAAAGGAAAAAUAUGCAUUUUAAAAAGAUAUAUUUUUUGCUAUUAAUAUUAGCACUUAAUGUCUGAGUACAGAUCCAUCAUUCAUUAGGUCUACAGUAGCCCACAGCCCUAAUUUAUAAAUUCAUAAUCACAAGUCAGAUCAACUCAAUUGCUCAAGGCUGUGUAUUUGCAAGUUAGAGUAUACACUGCAAAUUUCCUGUCUUUGGGCCGGUAUACUGAGCAAUGGUACUUUUUAAAAAGAAUUUGCUCAUAUCUUAGAUUUAACAGAGUUGAAAAUGUUUAACCAAUAUCACUCAUGUAAUAUAAAGUGUAAAUUUAAGCAGUGUUCUAGAAAAUUCAAGGCAAAGUAGUUUAAACCAUUUGGCUCUUCCUAGAGGUUCUGAUUUUUUUUUUUAACCUGAAAAAGUAGGUAAUUACUCGAUAGCCUUAGCUCUAAAAUAUAUCUGACAGGUUAUUUUUAUUUGUUUGGUUUUCAGAAAUCAUAUCCAUGUUUUCUACUCUCUGUAGUCUUAGCAAAAUGAAUCAAAGCCACUCUGUAUCCAAAGGUAACACUAUGGUUGUCUUUUUUUUUUUUUUUUUUUUUUUAACAUUGCAGGCUUUACCUCAAGUGCUAUGCAGUAAAUUUACAGGGAAAGAAAUAUUUUAUUAAAUUAUAACUGAGAGGAGCGGAUUUUUUUUAUAUAGCAAACAAAAAAUUCCUUCAUGAAAGGUUAUAAAACCGAUAUUAUUUACCAGAGAGACCUUUCCUGUCUCCCAGGUAAACACUUACAGUGUGUAGACUUGUGUAAAUACAUAUUUAGGAGUGGCUAAAUAUGGCGAGGUAUUUUUAAAGCCAUAUUUACAAAGCUGAAUACAUAUAUUGGCAUUUUGGAAUGUGUAAGCUGGGCAUGCUGCUCUGCUGUCUAUUCAGAAUUCUAGCAGGACGCUGCUAGAUACACCUCAGAUAUGGGGACCGAAUUUCAAAACAUUCAUCUUUAAUCAGAAUUACUAAAGACAGGUCCUUAAAUCAUUUCAAAAGUGUGAAAAUUUUCAACUAAUGGAGUUCAAGACUUUCUCACCAGUUUGACUUGAGGAAAAUUGUUUCAGAAAUGCAGGCGUCAUUCAUGGAAAUAAAAUUUCUUUUCUG